GAUGAAGAACGUAGCGAAAUGCGAUACGUAAUGUGAAUUGCAAAUUCAGUGAAUCAUCGAGUCUUUGAACGCACAUUGCGCCCCCUGGUAUUCCGGGGGGCAUGCCUGUCCGAGCGUCAUUGCUGCCCUCAAGCACGGCUUGUGUGUUGGGCCCCGUCCUCCGAUCCCGGGGGACGGGCCCGAAAGGCAGCGGCGGCACCGCGUCCGGUCCUCGAGCGUAUGGGGCUUUGUCACCCGCUCUGUAGGCCCGGCCGGCGCUUGCCGAUCAACCCAAAUUUUUAUCCAGGUUGACCUCCGAUCAGGUAGGGAUACCCGCUGAACUUAAGCAUAUCAAUAAGCGGAGGA
rnacentral:misc_RNA from 1 species